rnacentral:rRNA from 1 species
UACGUAGGGUGCAAGCGUUAAUCGGAAUUACUGGGCGUAAAGCGUGCGCAGGCGGUUUUGUAAGUCUGACGUGAAAUCCCCGGGCUCAACCUGGGAAUUGCGUUGGAGACUGCAAGGCUGGAGUCUGGCAGAGGGGGGUAGAAUUCCACGUGUAGCAGUGAAAUGCGUAGAGAUGUGGAGGAACACCGAUGGCGAAGGCAGCCCCCUGGGUCAAGACUGACGCUCAUGCACGAAAGCGUGGGGAGCAAAAGGG